UACGUAGGGUGCGAGCGUUGUCCGGAAUUAUUGGGCGUAAAGAGCUUGUAGGCGGUUUGUCGCGUCUGCUGUGAAAGGCCGGGGCUUAACCCCGUGUAUUGCAGUGGGUACGGGCAGACUAGAGUGCAGUAGGGGAGACUGGAACUCCUGGUGUAGCGGUGGAAUGCGCAGAUAUCAGGAAGAACACCGAUGGCGAAGGCAGGUCUCUGGGCUGUAACUGACGCUGAGAAGCGAAAGCAUGGGGAGCGAACAGGAUUAGAAACCCGUGUAGUCC
rnacentral:rRNA from 1 species